UGCACUUCUGUGUGUUUUUGUUUCAUCUGUGGACAAAACUGACAUACAGGUUUUUACAACCCAGAACUCAUCGACCAGUAUGAGCUUUGAUAUAUGCAAGCAAGA